AACGAACGCUGGCGGCAUGCCUAACACAUGCAAGUCGAACGAGACCUUCGGGUCUAGUGGCGCACGGGUGCGUAACGCGUGGGAACCUGCCCUUAGGUUCGGAAUAACUCCCCGAAAGGGGUGCUAAUACCGGAUAAUGUCUUCGGACCAAAGAUUUAUCGCCUUUGGAUGGGCCCGCGUUGGAUUAGCUAGUUGGUAGGGUAAAAGCCUACCAAGGCGACGAUCCAUAGCUGGUCUGAGAGGAUGAUCAGCCACACUGGGCCUGAGACACGGCCCAGACUCCUACGGGAGGCAGCAGUGGGGAAUAUUGGACAAUGGGCGAAAGCCUGAUCCAGCAAUGCCGCGUGAGUGAUGAAGGCCUUAGGGUUGUAAAGCUCUUUUACCCGGGAUGAUAAUGACAGUACCGGGAGAAUAAGCACCGGCUAACUCCGUG
rnacentral:rRNA from 1 species